ACAUCUUGCGCUAACCUUAGAGAUAAGGCGUUCCCUUCGGGGACGCAAUGACAGGUGGUGCAUGGUCGUCGUCAGCUCGUGUCGUGAGAUGUUGGGUUAAGUCCCGCAACGAGCGCAACCCUUGUUACUAGUUGCCAGCAUUAAGUUGGGCACUCUAGUGAGACUGCCGGUGACAAACCGGAGGAAGGUGGGGACGACGUCAGAUCAUCAUGCCCCUUAUGACCUGGGCUACACACGUGCUACAAUGGACGGUACAACGAGUCGCAAGCUCGCGAGAGUAAGCUAAUCUCUUAAAGCCGUUCUCAGUUCGGACUGUAGGCUGCAACUCGCCUACACGAAGUCGGAAUCGCUAGUAAUCGCGGAUCAGCAUGCCGCGGUGAAUACGUUCCCGGGCCUUGUACACACCGCCCGUCACACCAUGGGAGUUUGUAACGCCCAAAGUCGGUGGCCUAACCUUUAUGGAGGGAGCCGCCUAAGGCGGGACAGAUGACUGGGGUGAAGUCGUAACAAGGUAGCCGUAGGAGAACCUGCGGCUGGAUCACCUCCUU
rnacentral:rRNA from 1 species